GAUGAACGCUGGCGGCGUGCCUAACACAUGCAAGUCGAGCGAACCCUUCGGGGUGAGCGGCGGACGGGUGAGUAACGCGUGGGUAACCUGCCCUGUACACACGGAUAACAUACCGAAAGGUAUGCUAAUACGAGAUAAUAUAUUUUAAUCGCAUGGUUAAGAUAUCAAAGCUCCGGCGGUACAGGAUGGACCCGCGUCUGAUUAGCUAGUUGGUGAGGUAAUGGCUCACCAAGGCGACGAUCAGUAGCCGACCUGAGAGGGUGAUCGGCCACCCUGGAACUGAGACACGGUCCAGACUCCUACGGGAGGCAGCAGUGUGGAAUAUUGCGCAAUGGGCGAAAGCCUGAUGCAGCAACGCCGCGUGAGCGAUGAAGGCCUUCGGGUCGUAAAGCUCUGUCCUCAAGGAAGAUAAUGACGGUACUUGAGGAGGAAGCCCCGGCUAACUACGUGCCAGCCGCCGCCGUAA
rnacentral:rRNA from 1 species